rnacentral:rRNA from 1 species
UGGGAAGAAGUAAUGACGGUACUUGAGGAAUCAGCAUCGGCUAACUCCGUGCCAGCAGCCGCGGUAAUACGGAGGAUGCAAGCGUUAUCCGGAAUUAUUGGGCGUAAAGCGUCCGCAGGUGGCCCAUCAAGUCUGCUGUUAAAGCCCACAGCUCAACUCUGGAUAGGCAGUGGAAACUGCUGGGCUAGAGAGCGGUAGGGGCAGAGGGAAUUC